rnacentral:misc_RNA from 1 species
AACGCACGAGACCUGCGGACCUGCGGAGGGAUCAUUAAUUAGAAACUGCCCCUCGCGGGUAGAUCUCCCACCCUUUGUAAACUUACCUUUGUUGCUUUGGCAGGCCCGUCUCCGGACCGCCGGCUUCGGCUGGCCAGUGCCUGCCAGAGGAUUCUAAAACUCUGUCUGUCAGUGUUGUCUGAGUCUAUAUACAAUCGUUAAAACUUUUAACAACGGAUCUCUAGAUCGGAAGAGCACACG